UAUAGAGAAGCUUAUGCUUUGGAAUCCUAGAAUUUUGACUCAAAAGGCUGAGCGCCUCAAAGACUUAGUGGAUCGAGUAGAAAAAACUUUCUUUCUUUCUCGCGAUUCCAGCGUGUUCAUACAUGGGGUUUAUGCCCUUGCAUGGCUUGACGAAUCGACGGUGAAAAAGAGAUUAGAAAUCUUCAGGAGCUUCGGGUGGUCUGACUCGGAUAUUUUUACAUUGGUCCAAACAUGUCCUCCCUGUUUGACAAAAUCCGAAGCUAAGAUCAGAAAUAAGUUAAAUUUCCUAAUGAAGGAACUUGGAUAUGAGUCUCAUUACCUGGCUUCUCAUCCCACGUUUUUGACAUGUAGCUUGGAGAAAAGGGUUCUACCUAAACAUAAUGUUUUGAAGCUACUCAGCCAAAAGGAGCCGACAAAGUGUAGUCUGAACCUUUAUACUGCUGUGAUAUGUUCUGAGUCAAAGUUCUUAGAAAGAUAUGUGCUGCCUUUCAAGGAUGAGAUGCCCGAGGUGCAUGAUAUAUACAUCAAAAGUAGAAGCCAAUAGAGCAUUUUGGUACUGUGAAAUGGAGUGCCUAGCAAAAGUCUAUGCUUCCUUCCAUCUAUUUGUCUGGCUCUUAGAUUGUUGUUAUUAUCUUUGUGGCCUUUGUUGUAGAUAUUGCUUGUUUCUACUGUUUCUUUUCAUCUUUCGUGAACGGGUCUGUCGGAAACAACCUCUCUAUUUCUCAGGGUAGAGGUAAGGGUAGGGGUAAGAUCUGUGUACACAUUACCCUCCCCGGACUCCUGGUGGGACCCCAAUGAGUUGUUGUAGUCGCCAGAUUGAUCUAGUGGUAAGAAAUCAUUCCUCAAGAAUAUGAGUAACCACAGACUUGCAUGUUUGAUAAAUUGAAGUACUCGCAUUAUUUAAUAAGGAUUCAUGUUGUCGACUUCAACUUGUUUGGGAUUGAGGCAUAACUGUUGUUUUAUGCUUCACUAUCUUACAUUUUCCUUUGUCAUCAUGUUCAGAUCAACAACACUCAUCGUCGCAUACUUUGCUUGUUUCUACUGUUUUUUUCAUCUUUCGUGAGCCGAGGGUCUAUCGGAAACGUCCUCUCUAUCUUCCCAGUGUAGGGGUAAGGUCUGUGUACACACUACCCUUCCCGGACCCCACUUGUGGGACUCUAUUGAGUUGUUGUAGUCGGCAGAUUGAUCUAGUGGUAAGAAAUCAUUCCUCAAAGUAUAUGAGUAACCACGGACUUGCAUGUUUGAUUAAUUGAAGUACUCACGUUAUUCAAUGAGGAUUCAUGU